AGGGGGUUACAUAGAAUUUUUUCACAAAUUUACCCUUUGCCGAAUUGUUUUGUUGUGUUUUUUUUGUGUUGGUGUUCGACAUUGUGGGAGUGUUUGUUAUGUUAUUUCAGUUCAGUUUUUAAGGCGUUUUGCAUUGGUGAAAAGUCAAACUUUGAAAUGUUUAACUAGUUAUAUGGUUAGCAACUUUUAGCUAUUGUAAUAGAAAUGUAAUAUAAUUAUAUUUGUAAAAAUUAUAAAUUUAUAAACAAUAUAAUAAAACAAAUGAGUGAUUAAUGUAUAAUUUAGAAAACUGUGUUAUACCAGAAGAUGCUAGGUUGG
rnacentral:lncRNA from 1 species